UACGGGGGGGGCAAGCGUUGUUCGGAAUUACUGGGCGUAAAGGGCUCGUAGGUGGCCAACUAAGUCAGACGUGAAAACCCGCGGCUCAACCGCGGGCCUGCAUUCGAUACGGGCAGGCUAGAGUUCGGUAGGGGAGACUGGAAUUCCCGGUGUAGCGGUGAAAUGCGCAGAUAUCAGGAGGAACACCGGUGGCGAAGGCGGAUCUCUGGGCCUUACCUGACGCUGAGGAGCGAAAGCUGGGGGAGCAAACAGG
rnacentral:rRNA from 1 species